rnacentral:rRNA from 1 species
GGGAUAUUGCACAAUGGGGGAAACCCUGAUGCAGCGACGCCGCGCGAGUGAAGAAGUAAUUCGUUACGUAAAGCUCUAUCAGCAGGGAAGAAAAUGACGGUACCUGACUAAGAAGCCCCGGCUAACUACGUGCCAGCAGCUGCGGUAAUACGUAGGGGGCAAGCGUUAUCCGGAAUUACUGGGUGUAAAGGGAGCGCAGACGGCAGUGCAAGUCUGGAGUGAAAGCCCGUGGCUUAACUACGGGACUGCUCUGGAAACUGUGCAGCUAGAGUGCAGGAGAGGCAGGCGGAAUUCCUAGUGUAGCGGUGAAAUGCGUAGAUAUUAGGAGGAACACCGGUGGCGAAGGCGGCCUGCUGGACUGUAACUGACGUUGAGGCUCGAAAGCGUGGGGAGCAAA